CAGUCCGACAGACACAACACCACACGUGCUGCCUGCUCCACACCACAGCACCCACCAGGCUGUCACCCCGCUCGGCUCAGCCCCGCUCGGAUCUCCGCGCACUCGGCACAGCCCGGAGUGCGCGCCCGGCGCCGGGAGCGGCGGGCGGGCGGACGGCGGGCGCGCCCCGAGGAGAGCGGGCGAGCCCGCACAGCAGCCCCAGGCUCCGCGGCCUGGCGCUCGCCGCCCGUGAGCGCCGGCUCCCGGAGUGGCGCGCGGCGGAGCGGGCGAGCCGUAGGUGCGGACCGGGCGGGCGGACGGCGCGGGUUGGGCCGCGGAGUCGGACGCGAGGGGGGGCCGCGGCGCCCAGCCCGAGGCCUGGCGCAGAGCAGCGGGAGGCGGCGCAGGCCGCGACGGGGCCUGCAGCAGCCCGCCGACCCCGCGAGGCGCCGAAGGAGACUCCGGGGCGGCUUAGCCUCCGGCUCGGCAGCUGGGAGCGACCGGGGGAGGCCCCUCGGCUACUUACCUGGGGGGAAGACAGUCGGGAUCCCGGGGGCCCGGGCCGGACCGCGGAGAUGCCCCAAACUGACACGGCCGCCAUCUUGGAGACAGAUUAGGUCCUUCUGCCUUACGAUGACUUCCACAACCACCAACAAGAAUUCUACAAAGAAAUGGAAAAUAAAGUCUUUGUGUGGUAUCACACCUAUAGCCGAGUACUUGGCAAUGCCUAGGCAGGAGAGUUGGUGCAAGUUUGAGGCCAGCCUGUCUCAAAACCACAACAACAGCAGCAAAGUAGGAAAUAAGUCCACAAGGCCCAAGCAUUUUUUAACAAAAUCUUGAAGAAGGUAAACAACUUACAUUGAACCCAGAUAGGUCACUCAUAGCAGGGUGGGAAAUGUUUAAAGAUAAGAACACAGCCCUAAGUGCUUCUGUCUGGGUUACUUAGGGUUAAUAGGCCAAAAAGUUCUCUCAUACUCAGGAGUUGCCUCUGAUGUCCUAAGUCAAGGUGUCAACAUGCAUUCAGAAAGGCUGGGUGGCCUUUGGUUGUGUUGGAUCUCAUAUGUUCCCCAGAUCUGACAUGUUGGAGGUUUGGUCCCUACUUUGGCACUAUUAGGAAAUGGUAGAACUUUUAGAAGGUGGGGCAUAGUGGAAGGACAGUAGCUAACUGGGGACUUGCCCUUGGAGGGGAGAGGGGACUCCAGUCCCUCCCUGAUUCUCUCUGCAUCCAUGUCACCAUGAGGUAAACAUGCUCCUUCAAGGACAGAAACCCCUGAAGCCAAGGAAACCUUCCCUUCUAUGAUUGACUUUUUCAGGUUUCUUGUCAGCCUCAGGAAGCUAACACAGCCCCUAUUUGUUAACCAGUAAUCACCCAUAUCCCACCGCCCCCCCAACACACUUCCACUUUCUGAUUAUUGCAAUUAAAUUUAGAAUGUUUGAGGAAAUGUAUCAAUAAGUUUUUCCUCGGGGAAGAAUGAACUGCUCGCAGUGAGAUCUAGAAAACCACACUCAAGAGCCUCACAAUUUAGGAAAGCAAGCAGGACUCUCCAUGGAAAAACGUAAAAGUACAAUGAACGAAAUCUACAGCAGAUGAAUUUUGGAGAGACUGAGACCUAGUGAUUCCAGCUGGGAAUGUUUGUAGAGUGUUUGCCUAGCAUGCAAGAGGUCCUGGGUUCUAACCCCACCAUCAUAAACCUGGAUGUAGUGGGGCAGACUUGUAGUCCCAACACUCCAGAAGUAAAAUCAAGAAGAUCACAAGUUCAAGAUUCUCCUCAGUGAGUUCAAGGGCAGUGUAAGUUACAUGAGACCCUGUUUUAAAAGAGAAAGAAAGCAAGCAAGCAAGCGAAGUUAGUAAUUUCCUCACCUCACAAGCAGAAAAACACUGGAUGGUAUCUGAAAUUGAACUGUACUAACUUUACUUUUUCAUUAGCUCUCAUUGUUUCCUCCCUCCCGCACCACUUCCUUUCUUCUCUAUGGACUAUAACAUUAACUUUCUUGUUAUCAGACUUUUCUCAUAAUAAUGUCAUUUACUGUGAAAAGUCAUUGAAAAUUUUGAAAAUUUACUUUGGUGUGCUUCAUUUUCAUUUUUUAAAAAUUCUGUCAAGUGGAAAGAAAAAUUUAAUGAUAUACUUUUCAUUUAAAGUGGCAUCUAGGCUGAGCACUGUAAGACACACCUAAAAUGACAAUAGUCAGUAGGCUGGACUAGGAAGGGCACACAUGCCAGCCAUGACUACAUAAUGAGACCCUGUCCAGAAAGCAAAAGCAGCAUCUGUAUUCAACCCUACUCUAAUAAAAUCAUUUGUUGGUGUGCA
rnacentral:lncRNA from 1 species